UACGGAGGAUGCAAGCGUUAUCCGGAAUGAUUGGGCGUAAAGCGUCCGCAGGUGGCUGUGUAAGUCUGCUGUUAAAGAGUGAGGCUCAACCUCAUAAAAGCAGUGGAAACUACACGGCUAGAGUGCGUUCGGGGCAGAGGGAAUUCCUGGUGUAGCGGUGAAAUGCGUAGAUAUCAGGAAGAACACCGGUGGCGAAAGCGCUCUGCUAGGCCGCAACUGACACUGAGGGACGAAAAGCUAGGGGGAGCGAAUGGG
rnacentral:rRNA from 1 species